GCUCAGUACUAGUUCAUUUUGGGUGUAUGGCACUGUAUGAGAAAUCAAUGUCUGUGUGUUCCGGGGAGUGUAGGGUCGCAAGUCUGACACUUAAAAGAAUUGACGGAAGCGCAACACCAAGAGUGGCGCGUGCGGCAUUAUGAGACUCCACACGGAGACACUUCACAUCUCCGGACAUUGUAAGGAUAGACAGAUACACCUCUUUUUCGUGAUUCUAUGGGGGGGGGCGCAGGGCCUUUCUUAGUGGGGGGAGAGAUUUGUGUGGUAAAUUCUGUUAACGAACGAGACCUUCGCCUGCUAAAUGGGUAUGUAUAACUACGGUUAUAUAGGCACCUUCUUAGGGGGACACUGUGUGUUCAACACAGGGAAGUUGGAGGCAAUAACAGGUCUGUGAUGCCCUUAGAUGUUCUGGGCCGCACGCGCGCUACACUGACACACUCAACAAGCUUAUAACCUUGUCCGAGAGGUCUGGGAAAUCUUUGAAUAUGUGUCGUGAUGGGGAUAGAUCGUUGCAAUUCUCGAUCUUCAACGAGGAAUUCCUAGUAAACGCAGUUCAUCAGACUGCAUUGAUUACGUCCCUGCCCUUUGUACACACCGCCCGUCGCACCUACCGAUUGAAUGGUCCGGUGAGAAUUUUGGAUUGAUGUUUCGUCGGGUUAACGCCAGACUUUACGUUGAGAAGUUAUUCAAACCUUACCAUUUAG
rnacentral:rRNA from 1 species